rnacentral:rRNA from 1 species
AUUGAACGCUGGCGGCAUGCUUUACACAUGCGAGUCGAACGGCAGCGCGGGCUUCGGCCUGGCGGCGAGUGGCGAACGGGUGAGUAAUGCAUCGGAACGUGCCCAGUAGUGGGAGAUAGCCCGGCGAAAGCCGGAUUAAUACCGCAUACGACCUGAGGGUGAAAGCGGGGGACCGAAAGGCCUCGCGCUAUUGGAGCGGCCGAUGUCGGAUUAGCUAGUUGGUGGGGUAAAGGCUUACCAAGGCGACGAUCCGUAGCUGGUCUGAGAGGACGACCAGCCACACUGGGACUGAGACACGGCCCAGACUCCUACGGGAGGCAGCAGUGGGGAAUUUUGGACAAUGGGGGCAACCCUGAUCCAGCCAUGCCGCGUGCGGGAAGAAGGCCUUCGGGUUGUAAACCGCUUUUGUUCGGGAAGAAAUCCUCUGGGCUAAUACCCCGGGGGGAUGACGGUACCGGAAGAAUAAGCACCGGCUAACUACGUG